GGAUGAAUGCUUCACAGUCAGUCAUCACAGUCUUGCACAAACCAGUACUCCCCAUCGUUAGGCUUUGGGACCAGAAAAUUGGGGUGUUGCAAAGAGUCCUGGGCUGAAUGAGUCCAUGUUUGAAGAAUUUGGUGUGCAGUGGUGGUUCCCCCUCACGGUUUCAGGCUUUAAAGUGUAUUGCCUUUUCCAGGGAUAUUUCCCUUCAGGCUUUAAUCUUAUUUCUAUCAGGGGAAGAUGCUCAGCCCUCACUGGCACUGAAAUAUCCUGUGGAAUUUCUUGGACCUUCUCAUAAUUUACCAGCUCACCAUACACUUUCUCAUUCCUUCUUGUAAGCAAGUCAUAUAUGUCUCAUCCUGGCCUGACCUACAUGAUCCUCUUUAUUCCAGUGUGGGCCUGUGUCUAGGAUGGUUGCACUGCCCAUUUAAUCAACAUGGUGGCUCAGAUUGGUGUCUAGUAGGCUGUCUGCAUGUUCCUUGGCCUUUCUUAGUAUGGCCUUUUCAGCUGGGGUGCAACAGUGAACCAGAACAACCAUGAGGUCCUCCAGGUUAGGGAGAAAUGUUAACCCCAGUCUGAUAAAUUCAUCCCUAAACUUGGGAUUUAUUUGCGAACCUGUCAGAGCCCUCCUUACAGAUGCCUAGGUCCCCCAUCAAAAAGGGGCCAAGUACCCUACUAAUCCCUCUGCUCCCAUCAGCUACCUUGUGGAGAGGGUAGAGACCUUGUGGGACAAAAGCGGGGACUAACUUUGAACUUGAUCAGAGCCCCACUAGGGACAGCACUGGGAGCUCUGAUUUUGAGAUUUCUGGUUUAAUAGAGUAAGGUGGGGGUUCAGAUGCUGAAGGUGACAUUGAAGGGGAAGAACUGGGGACCUGAGUUCUGGUCCCCAGGAGAGGAAGAUGCUUUUCACUCAGAAGAGGCUGGAUAUGACAGGGUGAUCCGUGAGGAAAUCUGGCUCUGAAUCUUUUGGGAUGAAGCAGAGAUCAACCAUGCACACAAGACAAGUGUCCCUCUGACGGGCCUCCUGAUAAAGCUUUAUGGAGGUCUGCAAAUAAAGGCUUUCUUCCCACUUUUAGACAGCUUAUAAAAUAGGUCCGGCUGUAAAAUGGCGUUAAAAUUAAAGCUAUCCAUUUUGAGUCCACGGCUCCUGGUUGCCCAAGGCACAUUGGGCCAAACCAUAUUACAAAAAAGCCCAGCUUGUUCCUUUUUAAGCCAGCUAACUCUAACUGUCCCUGGUUGCUAAAAAUGCAACCCAAGAGGGAGUCUUAAGGAAUUCUGGGGGUGCUUCCCAUUUCUAUACUCCCAAUGACCAGUGAUUAAAGGUCCAGGAGAAGGACGGAGUCCCCCAGGACAUUGCAUCAGUCAUGUAAUUACCUGAUCAUUUCUGGUUCCAGAAACUGAGAAAGGAGGAAAUGAAGACAUGAAUAACAAGCUAGGGAGGACAGGGAGGGAGCUGAUGGGGACUCCAGGUCUCAUGGCCUGAGGAGUCCCACUCUUGCCUCAACCUUGUACCAGGUGCAAGUCCGCCAACCUGAACCCCUCCCUCCUUGCUGACUGAAAAACAACAUAUCAGGUGCUGGUUAAGGCAGGUGAGCAAAGAAAAAUCUGGGACUUCAGGGUCUAUGAGGGAAGAGGCUCAAGUAUCAUCUAAAUGGUCUUCACAGAGGCAACCAUGAGAGUUUCCAGGGGAACAGAACCAGGAAGAAGGAAGGACAGCAGAGGAGAUGACAGAACUAUCCUGCCUUCAGUUGAGGGCACAGAACAGAAAAAUACUAGGAGGUAACACAGAGGUCACCCCAAAAGGGGGCCUCCAGGAUGGAGAGUGGAGGGUUCAGAUAUAGAGUAAGGAAGAAAAGAGGAAAUGAGAGAGAGAGAGCCUGCCUUUUCACCCAUCCCUCAGAGGGUAUCUCUUCAGGCAGUCCAGUCUGGUACCUCUUGCAGGAGAGCGAGCAGAGGGAGGCUCUAUCCACCAUCCCUGGGGUGAUCAGCAUUGGAAACCAGUGCCAGUGAGCUCUAAUUCACAACUGGGAUUUUAACCUUGGAAUGGGAGUUGAACCAAGGGGGUGGGGUGGGGAAACUUUGAGAAGUUUCUGGCAACUGGGUUUCCAGCCAGUACACAAUAUGAGCGUUGAAAUCUAUCGCUCUCAGGAACCUGCCAUCAAGGAGGGCCCCCCAGACCAAGGUCUUAGUGCAGGGAGUAAGCCCUUCCUAUCUGUCAGAGUUGCUAUGGGCCAAAGGGAGCACCAUCUUCCAAGCUGCCAGGAGCGAUGCUGGAGCUGCCCCAUCGUCCACUUUUCAAAGGACAGAAAAGCAGAAGGGGAAAGAGAAAAGAAGUAGAAAGACUAGAAGAGAAAAAAGAGCAGAGAAAGCAUGGCCUGAACAAGGAUAAUGAGACCUCUGGAGCUAUGAAGGCGACUUAUCAAGCUCCAUGAUGCUGAAGCAAAAAUGUUCAGGAUGGAAGAAGCUGCUUACAGUCUUCUGGAAGAGACUCCUCCCUCCCCAUCCUCUGGGGUGGAGUGGCCACAAACUAUGUUACUAACCAGGCCUCUGCAACUGUUUAAUCAACAGACAUGGACAAAGGCCAGAGGAGAGUUUGAGGCAAGGCUUUAUUGGGGUUUAUGCUUCAGCAUAAGAGGGUAAAAACACGAGGCAGGAUCACCCGCCGCUGGCGCUUUGUUCCUUAAUAGGGGUAAGGGUAGGGUGGAUCUAUGGGCCGAGGCGGUGGUGGAGGCGUGGUUUGGUUGCAGCCCUGGCCUCCUGGGAGUGAUGGGUAGACCAGUCACUCACAGUCCUUUCUUUGCUUUGCAUCAGGCAGCUGUAAUGCAGUGGACCAGCUACUAGUGUCAUCCCAGGAAGGUCGCCAAGCACGAAAGCUGGAAGUCCCUGAGAAUAUGUCAUUGACCACCUUCGAGGAAUCGCAUCCUGCUGAAAAAGUUUUUUCCUUUUGGUCUGGUUUCAGAUCAUCAGCCUCCUGUUUCGGUAGGUGUUGUCCGGGUGCAAUUGUUCUUGCAAGUUUGCCGGUUUCAGCUUCCCAUUGUUUAAGAAAGUAUUGUCAAGAUGCAAGUGUGUGCAGAUGAUAGGCUGUUGUUUUGGGAAGUAACAUCCAGGUAUGGGCAGAUGACCUCAGGUCCCAGCCUAUCUCAACAGAAAGAAGCUGUCUUCUUUAAAGACAUACUUCCCCGUUUCUUUUCUGAAUAUCCCAUGACCAGAAUAUGGAAAUGGGGCCAAUUAGACGUACCCAGUAGGGACUACUGCUGGGGGAGUAAUGUAGAGAUGCAGGAAACACAUCAGAAUUUGUUCCUGGUGGCAGAGGGAGAGGCAGUGCUGCUUGGAGUAUUGGUAGGCUCCACAGUGUGGCCGGCAGCAUCCUAACAAGGCUCCAUCUAAAUCAUUGUUUGAAUGUAGGUCUAGCCUCUCAUCCUCAGGUGUAACCUGUCUAUUUUUCAAAGACUACUUCUCCAGCCCUCCUGUCAACACCAGCUCUCUAUAAUCCAAUUAAUUCCUUUUUAGCCUAUUUUAACUUCAGCUGACUUGUAUUGCUUGUAUUCUAGAGGCUUGAACAGUAUUUAAAUAUUCCCACUGAAAUAUCUAAAUAUUCCCCACCAUGGAAGUUCUUUUUCUUUGGUGAAAAGAUUAAAGAGCUCUUUCGGGUAUGGGGGAAUAUGUUGGUGAACAUGAGAAGUCACAGUAUUAAAAGAUCAAAGUGUAUACCUAGCAGACUCAACCUCUAUCCUGACAAUAGUUACUGUGAAAAUUUUAAUAUCCCUCUGGUAGCUUUUCAUGCAUUUCGAAAGUAAAUGUGUCUUUAUUUUGAGGGGAAUUAUGAUGAAAUAGUUAGAUACCUACUAAUCUUAUCAUCAAAGAACAUUUUCCUAUGUCUUUGUUUGGAACACUGAAAACUGGUACCCAGGUUUUGAAAAAAGGGUGGGCAAUCAAAACGGAAGGGCCUUUUCCCACUCAAGUACGGAGAUUUGGCUGGAGUUUCUCCCUCUUUGUUUCUCAGGGUUAAGUACUAAUAUACCUCUCCAAAGUCCUUGUGUAUAAGCAGCAGUUUCUGUACUUAGGUUUGUAGUUACUACUAUUACAGAAUAUUUUGCCUUUACCUUUCUUACAGAAGAUGUGCGAGAUGUAUGUAAAUAUGCGGUUCUGUUGGACCUAUCUCUGAAGCCCAAUGUUAGCAUUGUUUCAGGUCACAUUUUAGAGAUCUUCAGUAGAGGCUCUAUGUCCCAACAGCAGGAAAGACAUUUUUUAACUUUUAUAUACAACCUGAUAAGCUGAAGCAUUUUGAGCUCACUCUUUCCAAGCCCAUGAAGCUAAUGGUAAACCUCAAGGUGGUCAAUAAUUCCCAUCAGUCCCUGCGUCGUCUGUGUCUCUGUGACCUCAGAAAGGAAGCUUCUGCAGCAGGGUGAGAUACCUUGUGGUUAACCUUUCCCCUGGGUCAUAGGCAGAGCAUUCCUCUUCUCCCUGCUCCUCUCCCAUGGAUUUCUAUCAACGACUAGGGUCCUGUGGGCCUUCAGUGAGCUAACAUAUCAGAGUACUCAGCACCCUGAGGGGCUGGUUUCUCUUUUAUUCAGCAAAUAUUUACUGAGCGUAUGCAUGUGUGUUGGCAUUAUUCCUGUUGCUGUGCGUACAACACCAGACAAAACUCAUUUCCCUUCUCUGUAAUCUCCUGACAUUCCAGUGAAGAAGAAAGGCAAUAAACUUGGAAGAAAGGUGUGUAAAUAUUGAUGGGUGUGUUAUAUUAAGUAAGGUGGCCAGGAAAAGCCUUUGUAGAAAUGACAUUUGAAAAGAGAUUUGAGCCUAGUGGGGUUGAGUAAUGUGAACAUAUAUGGGAGGUGAAGGAUGCUCCAGGCUUAGUGACAGGAAAUGCAAAAGCAAGGCAGAGGGGGUGAGUGUUUAUCUGACAAGCACAGAAGGCCAGCGUGGCCAAGAUGGAGUGAGCAAGUGAAAGAGGUGUGAGUGCUGAGAGAGAGGCAGUCUGAGACCAGAUCGUGUGGACCCUAUGAAGGGUAUAACUGUAUCUCAAGACCAACAGGUAAUAUGUCACACAUGAAAAAUAAAUUUAUUAUUAUAGUUUAGACAUGUACCUAAGUGAAAAUGUUAUGAAUGAAUAUUAAAAUAUUCAUUUUGGAGUUCCCGUUGUGGCUUAGCAGGUUAAGAACCCAAGUAGUCUCUGUGAGGAUGCAGGUUCGAUCCCUGGUCUCACUCAGUGGGUUGGGGAUCUGGCAUUGCUGCAAGCUCUGGCAUGGGUCUCAGACGCAGCUAGGAUCUGAUGUGGCUGUGGCUAUGUUGUAGGCCGGCAGCUGCAGCUCCAGUUCGACCCCUAGCCUGGAAACUUCCAUAUGCCUCGGGUGUGGCUUUAAAAAGAAAAAAAAAUGUAUUUUAAUCAGUUUUUGGUAAUGAUAUGAUUUUAUAUUUUUAAUAAAUAUGUAAGUACAUUAACAUAAAAUAUAAAUAUAUCUAUACUUAUGGAUGUAGAUAUAUAACAUAGAUAGCAUGUACAUGCUUCUAAACUGUUCUCAUUGCAUGUAUUUAUACCAGCAAUCUGACCAGCAAUGAAUGCGAAUGAAUAAACACAAAGAAAAUUCCUAGACUGAGGUAUUUCUUAAGGUCACAGCCAGUGUUAUUUUUGAAUAUGAAAAUGCAUGUGAAAUGCCCUUUAGAGGUUGUCUCUUUAAUCCAAAGAAAACAAAACAAAACAAAAAUUUGUGUUUGUCUAUUUAGUGAGCUUUAACCUUCAGGGAAUUGAAAGAGGUUGGGGAAGGAAGAGGCAUUUUAUGUGAAAUUAAAUGAUUUCGGCCAAUUAGAUGGUAGACACUUUACCUGUUCUUUUUUUUAGUAUAACUUUUUCUCCACCUUAAAAUAGACUGCCAUACAAAUUCUGUAAAUAUAGGUAGAUAUUGCGGUCCUGCAGAAACAUAAAGUAAAUAUGGAUUUGCUCCCCAAAUAUAAACUGUUCUUUUCCCAAGUUAUAUUAAC
rnacentral:lncRNA from 1 species